rnacentral:tRNA from 1 species
AUUUAUAUAGUUUAAUUUAAAACAUUAUAUUUUCAGUGUAAAAAAAGACCUUCUUUAUAAAUA